GACGAACGCUGGCGGCGUGCUUAACACAUGCCAGUCGAACGGUAAGGCUCCAGCUUGCUGGGGUACACGAGUGGCGAACGGGUGAGUAACACGUGGGUGACCUGCCCUGCACUUCGGGAUAAGCCUGGGAAACUGGGUCUAAUACCGGAUAGGACCAUGGUGUGGAUACUGUGGUGGACAGUUUUUUCGGUGUGGGAUGGGCCCGCGGCCUAUCAGCUUGUUGGUGGGGUAAUGGCCUACCAAGGCAGCGACGGGUAGCCGGACUGAGAGGGUGGACGGCGAAAUGGGGACUGAGAGACGGCGCAGAAGGCUACGGGAGGCAGCAGUGGGGAAUAUUGCACAAUGGGCGGAAGACUGAUGCAGCGACGCGGCGUGGGGGAUGACGGGCUUCGGGUUGUAAACACCUUUAAACAUAGACGAAGGGUUUCUGACGGUAGAUGGAGAAGAAGCACCGGCUAACUACGUG
rnacentral:rRNA from 1 species